CUUCCUAAUUAAAGGACACAAAACAGAGACGCCCAAACACUUCUCUCUCUCUCUCUAAAAUCUCUCCUCCCACUCUCUAAAAUCCCUUUUCUGCUAAAAUUUUACCCAACUCUAAAUCUCUCAAAUCAAGAUGUGAAUCUCAUCUAUCAGUUGAAGGUUUUUCAGAAGAUGAUGCAGCUGAAAUUAUGCCAAACAUGAGAAUGAAACCUCUCAAUCUUGUAUAUCAACACAGGUGCCUUUUUGGUUAGCAAUUGGUUUUAAAAAACAAAGGGAAAUGUACUAUCAGACCUCCUGAAUCCAUGUUCAUUGUCCUUUCCUUUUUAUGCGAUAUUUCUGGAAAUGAAAGGAACUGGAAAGCUCAACUUAGCAUUCACUACUCUAAAUACAGUACUAAUGAAGAAAGAUUGUCUCAUCAUCCUGAAGAUGCUGAACUUGAGGACUGGAAAUACCUAAUACAAUAUUUUGGAAGUCCGAAUUUUAAGGUUGUAAGUGAGAGGAACAAAAAAAAAUAGGGAAAAGCAAACAACUAAGCAUGCUUGUGGUACAAGGUCUUUUGCAUAAGUAGAGGAAUCUACGAGAAAUCCUAUUUCGUGGACAAGGAUAUGGAAACAAGCCUCCCAAAAAAGAGUCACACAACAUGCAAACAUAGAGUCCAGUAUAUCUUCUGCUAUAGAAAUUAUGCGUCAAGAGAUGCAAGCUGGUAUGGAUCGGAAGUUGCAAGAAAAACGUGAACAAAUGGCUGCUGAGUUGCAAAGAAUUAUGGAACUUGAGUUGUAAAGGAAGUUGGAAUACGAGUUGUCUAGGAAGUUGGCAGAGGACCGUGAACUCGUAAAUGUAGAAGUAGAGAAGAGGAUCUAGCUAGAAGUGAAAAAGAAGAUGCAGGAACAAUUUGCUACUUUCAUGACCAGAAUGCAACAUAUACUUGCUCUGCUCCUUCUCGACAUUACUUCUUCCUUCUCGACAUUUCUUCUUCCUUCCUUCUUGAAAAUUCUUCUGAGACCGGCUUCCUAUCUUCUUUUCAACUUCUUCUCCUUUAACUUUUAUCUUCUUGAUGAGUCUAUAGCUUGAUUUGAUCAAUAUAUGAAUUGUUGGGUUGUUUUGUGUUUAUCUAGUUAAAAAUGCUUUGUAAAAACUAAUGUGCUAUUGUCAACAGCUGAUGAUACAAUUAGUUCCUCGUC